UGGCUUCUUAUGGAAACAACCAUGAGCAGGUAGAGUUAUGUUUUCUCUCUUUCCAAGGGUAUGUCUCUGGCCCCAAGGGGAAAGCAAAACCCAGAACAAUAGACACCAACAAACAACAUUAAGCUAAAGUAGCGCCUCAUCCGAUGUGCAGCCAAAAGGAACGCUCAGCCCAAGGUAUGCUGACACUUCCCCUCUCUUCCCCAAGAAGAUGCUGAUGUAUCUGUUUGGACCCCCAAUUGAGCCCCUUUUUCUGGUUCCAGCAACCAGCAACCAACAGGCAGGGCUGGUGUCAAUGAAAUCAGUGAAGAUUUGAAGACUGGUCUAGAAGCAAAAUGGAGCCCUCACUGACAGUUGAAGCAUUUCUACUCAAUUCCAUUGGUUGCCAACUUUUAGAUUCUUUGAAGAUAUAAUUCUAGGCCCAUGAGAAGUUACUACAUAUUUCUGAUGUGAUUGAGUCUUGACAUAGGACCAGAAAAGCAAGAAACUUAAUAAGUACAUAGAAAUAAAAAGAAAAGUAAGGCCCUAUACUUAUUAUCAUUAUUAUUUCCCAUUACAAAAUAAUUUAGUGGCACUUUUUCUCAUAAUCUAUAAUUUCUCUAUUUAUAGAUUGGGUUCUAUUUUAUAAAAUCUUCUAUACAUACAUCAUUCAAAUUUGUAUAUUCAGAUAAUGUAAUAAACAAGGCUUUAUUAUCACCAUUUUCAAAAUGUAGAAACCGAAGUCUAGAGACUCAUAUCUCUUGGCUGGGAAUAUGGCUUAGUGGUAGAGUGCUUGCCUAGCAUGCAUGAGGACCUGUAUUCAAUGCCUCCAUAUCACAUAAUCAAAAAAUAAAUAAAAUUAAUGAUUUCUUUUUAAAAAUUCAGGUUUCUAGACAAAACCUGGUAAGAGGCUUAAACCAAGAUCUUCUAAACCCAAAGCAAGAGUCUUCACAAAAAUGCAAAAGAAAUUGUGAUUUGCACUUUAUAUAGUCUUUCUAGCAUCUUUAGUUUGUAAAUCUUUCUCAUACUACUGAUAUCAUCUAAGGAUAAUGAUUAACAGGAGUUUUCGAGAGGAUGACAAGAGUAGGAGGCCAAAAUGGCAUUGGGUAACACUUGGACUGUUUUUAAAAACAAAUCAGCAAGAAGAGGAGAGGCUGACACAAGAGUCCAAGUAGUGGUUAAAGGCCAAGGCAGAAGACCCAGCCAGUUCCAUGCUGAGCUCCUAAGCCAAGGAAGUUGAAGCCCUGGUGUCAGUGCUGUGCCAGAUGGACCUGACUAGAAAAGAGUCAUGGGUCCAAUGCACAGUUUAUUUCUCCAACUGUAAAGACACCAUAACCUCGGUCUUCAUGGAGAGGAGGAAAUUGCUGCUAUCUUUAAUAAAAUGGAAUCUGAAAUCAAACUAUGAGUUAGGAAAUUGAAGAACUACAA